rnacentral:rRNA from 1 species
UACGUAGGGGGCAAGCGUUGGUCCGGAUUUAUUGGGCGUGAAAGAGCAGUGUAGGCGGCCAGGGUACGGUCUGGCUGUGAAAACAUCGAGGCUUAAACCUCCGAGCUGUCGGCGGAAACCAUCUGGCUAGAGUCUGGAAGAGGAGAAUGGAAUUCCCGGUGUAGCGGUGAAAUGCGCAGAUAUCAGGAGGAACACCAAUGGCGAAGGCAGCUCGCUGGGACGGUACUGACGCUGAGACGCGAAAGCGUGGGGAGCAAACAGG